GCGUGUGCAGUGUGUCAGCAGGAGAAGGCAGAGCACCAAGCAAAUACCUGGCACGCGUUCCAUGGUGGUCUUUAGGAAGAAAUCCGUCUGUUGGACUUCCUGCGUGGCUGUUCAGACCAAGACGGCUUUGUUUUGCAAGGCGCUGCAAGCUCUUAUCUCAGAGAGUGCAAAUGUUUUGCAGAUGUCUGACAGACGUUGGCGAACGUGUGAGGGGAGGCGAGCAACAAGGGUGCGUUGCUUUUGGCAAGUGUUCAGGCGGCUGCAACUUCUCCAACGUCUUCUAAAACUAUCUUGGGCCCUUCCAAUUGUGUUACCAGCCUGACGUCAUCCCUGACCCUGGAUUGUUUCCACCUGUUUCCCAUUACUCUCAUGUUUCAUAUAAGCCCAUGCCUCCCCAUGUCCAAUGCCAGAUUGUCUCGAGCUUUCGUUCCUGUCUAGCGUCCAUGUUCAUGUUCCUGUCCAUGCCUUGCCUGUCCCACGUCUACUUCCUUGGAUCCAGAAUUCCCACGCUGUAAUUUUGAGUUGAACUUUUUCUCCUCCUCAGAGCGAAUUUUGUUAUCUAGCCGUUGAUCAACCGAAGUGGUGAGUUAUGAUUUUUUCCUAAUAAUCUUUCCUUCCUCAAAGUUUUUGAGUGAUUUUCUGUUUACCUUUAUUAGACUAAGAUUAGAGUAGACAUUUUUAUAGUCAUUGUUUUUUUCCUCCUGUUGGAGCGUUUUAUGUUAAGCUUUCAUAACAGAUACGGCGCCAAAUAUAGUUUGUCUUUAUUUUGGUAUUUUCCUCCUUUUUAGGAGUGAUUUUCGUUUGUUCCCCUUUUGGAACCUUUUUCGCUUACCGUUUUUUGUUACUUAUAGAAUUUGUAUAACUCUGGCUCUGGAGGUUAAAGAGUUGUCAAAAUAAAAGCUUUACCAAGAAUCCCA